AGCCCCGCGCCGGGAGUCCCAGCCCCUCGGGGCUGAGGCAGGAGGAUGGCAGGGGCACAGGAGUUCUUGGCCACAGGGCGCUGAGUCCGGCAUCAACAUGGUGACCUCCCGCGGGCGGGGCACCACCAGGUUGCCUAAGCAGGGGUGAAGUGACCAGGUUGGAAACCGAGCAGGUGAAAGCUCCCGUGCUCGUCAGUAGUGGGGUCACGCCUGUGAAGGCCACUGCACUCCAGCCUGGGCAACAGGGCGAGACAUAUCCCUUU
rnacentral:SRP_RNA from 1 species